UACGAAGGGGGCUAGCGUUGUUCGGAAUUACUGGGCGUAAAGAGUGUGUAGGCGGUGCUCUAAGUUCGGUGUGAAAUCUCCUGGCUCAACUGGGAGGGUGCGCCGGAAACUGGAGUGCUUGAGCGUGGGAGAGGAAAGCGGAAUUCCUGGUGUAGCGGUGAAAUGCGUAGAUAUCAGGAGGAACACCUGUGGUGUAGACGGCUUUCUGGACCAUAGCUGACGCUGAGACACGAAAGCGUGGGUAGCAAACAGG
rnacentral:rRNA from 1 species